rnacentral:rRNA from 1 species
GAUGAACGCUGGCGGCGUGCCUAAUACAUGCAAGUCGAGCGAAUCUUUGGGAGCUUGCUCCCAAAGGUUAGCGGCGGACGGGUGAGUAACACGUGGGCAACCUGCCUGUAAGACUGGGAUAACUCCGGGAAACCGGGGCUAAUACCGGAUAACAUAUGAGACCACAUGGUCUUGUGUUAAAAGAUGGCUUUUAGCUAUUACUUACAGAUGGGCCCGGGGCGCAUUAGCUAGUUGGUGAGGUAACGGCUCACCAAGGCGACGAUGCGUAGCCGACCUGAGAGGGUGAUCGGCCACACUGGGACUGAGACACGGCCCAGACUCCUACGGGAGGCAGCAGUAGGGAAUCUUCCGCAAUGGACGAAAGUCUGACGGAGCAACGCCGCGUGAGCGAAGAAGGUCUUCGGAUCGUAAAGCUCUGUUGUUAGGGAAGAACAAGUAUCGUUCGAAUAGGGCGGUACCUUGACGGUACCGUAAGAAUAAGCACCGGCUAACUACGUGCCAGCCGCCGCCGUAAGAC